rnacentral:rRNA from 1 species
UACGGAGGAUCCGAGCGUUAUCCGAAAUUAUUGGGUUUAAAGGGUGCGUAGGCGGCCAUUUAAGUCAGCGGUGAAAUUUUGCAGCUUAACUGUAACAGUGCCGUUGAUACUGUUUGGCUAGGAUUUGGUUGUAGUGUGCGGAAUGUGUGGUGUAGCGGUGAAAUGCUUAGAGAUCACACAGAAUAUCGAUUGCGAAGGCAGCUCACAAAGCCAAGAUUGACGCUGAGGCACGAAAGUGUGGGGAUCAAACAGGAUUA